rnacentral:rRNA from 1 species
GACGUAGGGCGCGAGCGUUGUCCGGAUUUAUUGGGCGUAAAGAGCUCGUAGGCGGCUUAUCGCGUCGACUGUGAAAUCCCGCGGCUCAACUGCGGGUCUGCAGUCGAUACGGGCAGGCUAGAGUUCGGUAGGGGAGACUGGAAUUCCUGGUGUAGCGGUGAAAUGCGCAGAUAUCAGGAGGAACACCGAUGGCGAAGGCAGGUCUCUGGGCCGAUACUGACGCUGAGGAGCGAAAGCGUGGGGAGCGAACAGG